GGACCAUUCUCGCCAUUCGCCGCUUCUUUUAUCGAAUGAAUUUGCUGCAUCAGUAAAUCGCAGUAUAAUCUAAGUUCUGACUUUUUUCCUUUCGCUAAAUCCGAACAAGCCGAGGAGCAUGAUUCUACCCUGAGCCUUUGCAGAUCCCAGCGCCACCAGCCACCCUGCCCUUUCACCAGGAGACCCCACUCGAACAUAAAUAUGCUGCUCUCCAGGAAUAACUAUGUCUAAUCUGUGAAUAUCUGUUUGAUGCACUGAGGAAAGCAAUGUAAACGAUUAUAAUGAAUAAAUAAAUACCAAUAAAAGUUUGGAAUCGC